UACGGAGGGGGCUAGCGUUGUUCGGAAUUACUGGGCGUAAAGCGCACGUAGGCGGCUUUGUAAGUUAGAGGUGAAAGCCCGGGGCUCAACUCCGGAAUUGCCUUUAAGACUGCAUCGCUAGAAUUGUGGAGAGGUAAGUGGAAUUCCGAGUGUAGAGGUGAAAUUCGUAGAUAUUCGGAAGAACACCAGUGGCGAAGGCGACACACUGGCCCGAUACUGACGCUGAGGCGCGAAAGCGUGGGGAGCAAACAGG
rnacentral:rRNA from 1 species